rnacentral:rRNA from 1 species
CUACGGGGGGCAGCAGUGGGGAAUCUUGCACAAUGGAGGAAACUCUGAUGCAGCGAUGCCGCGUGAGUGAAGAAGGCCCUUGGGUUGUAAAGCUCUUUUGUCGGGAAAGAUAAUGACUGUACCCGAAGAAUAAGGUCCGGCUAACUUCGUGCCAGCAGCCGCGGUAAUACGAAGGGACCUAGCGUAAUUCGGAAUUACUGGGCGUAAAGCGCGCGUAGGCGGUUAAGUAAGUUAAUUGUGAAAGCCCAAAGCUCAACUUUGGAAUUGCAAUUAAAACUACUUAGCUAGAGUUUAUCAGAGGAAAGCGGAAUACAUAGUGUAGAGGUGAAAUUCGUAGAUAUGUGGAGGAACACCAAUGGCGAAGGCAGCUCUCUGGCCUGAUACUGACGCUGAGGUGCGAAAGCGUGGGGAGCAAACAGGAUUAGAUACCCCUGUAGUC